rnacentral:rRNA from 1 species
GACGAACGCUGGCGGCGUGCUUAACACAUGCAAGUCGAACGGUGAAGGGAUCAGCUUGCUGGUUCUGGAUGAGUGGCGAACGGGUGAGUAACACGUGAGUAACCUGCCCCCUUCUUCUGGAUAACCGCAUGAAAGUGUGGCUAAUACGGGAUAUUCUGGGUCUGUCGCAUGAUGGGUCUGGGAAAGAUAUUGUUUCGGUGGGGGAUGGGCUCGCGGCCUAUCAGCUUGUUGGUGGGGUGAUGGCCUACCAAGGCGGUGACGGGUAGCCGGCCUGAGAGGGUGGACGGUCACACUGGGACUGGGACACGGCCCAGACUCCUACGGGAGGCAGCAGUGGGGAAUAUUGCACAAUGGGCGCAAGCCUGAUGCAGCGACGCCGCGUGAGGGAUGGAGGCCUUCGGGUUGUAAACCUCUUUCGCCAGUGAAGCAGGCCUGCUCCUUGUGGGUGGGUUGACGGUAGCUGGAUAAGAAGCGCCGGCUAACUACGUG